AAGAUGGCAGAGCACUUUUGUCAAGGAAGACUAUGUGAAUGCUUCCUUUUGGUUGACUCUAACAGCAAAAGCAGAUGCCUGUGUUGAAACGUUAAGAAACCAUUGUGCUUUAGAGGAAAGGAAGAGAUAACCUGGUAAUAGAAGUAGCUCUCUUGGCUGGAGAUCACAGGUCCCAAUUUGGAGAACAAUGAAGACACCUACGGGACCUUGGUUCCUCUUCUUGUGGCUGCAGCUGGACUAUAAGAGUAGAGGAGAAAAAGUGGAGCAGUAUCCCUCCUUCCAGAGUGUCCAAGAGGGAGACUACUGUGUUAUCAACUGCACUUAUACAGACAGUGCCUCCACUUACUUUUUUUGGUACAAACAGGAACCUGGAAAAGGUCUGCAGUUGCUUAUACAUACUCUUUCAAAUGUGGAUAAGAAAGAAGGACAAGGACUCAUUGUUUUAUUGAAUAAGAAGAACAAGCAUCUCUCCCUGAACAUCACAGCUACCAACCCUGGCGACUCACCCACCUACUUCUGUGCUACAAGAGCACAGUGGUCCCCAGGCACCUGCAGCCUGUACCCAAACCUGAGCUGA